rnacentral:lncRNA from 1 species
GGAAAACUCUGCCUACUUUGCAUGUUUAUUUAUUUCUCCUUCUUAGUUAGACUUCCCAAAGUCUAGAGUAUGUGGCAGUCUCUCCAGAAAACAACUGGGUAUGGUUCUUCUAAAGUCAUUGGUGCCUCUGGGUUUACACUGAAUAUGAUGCAAGAAGAGUCUAUCAAUAUGGGGAAUUCAGUGAAAGGAGUAAAUCUUGGCUUUCUGACUCCUAACCUGUUUUCAUCCAGACAUCCAUACCCCACUGCUGCAGAACUGAUUCAAACAAUUUCAGAGGAUGUAACUAAACCACCUGUGGUUUACCAUUGAUCUUUACCAUAAAUCAGAAGAAUGAUGAAAAUUGUGGAAAAGGUGUUCUCCUUUGGGAAAAAUGCCUUCUUUUCCACUGGAGUUGAAGAUCAAAUCCUCACUGGAUCAAGUCCUUGGACAAAAGUUGUGAUGGUAUAAAUUGAAAUGUGAUUGCUUUAAAUCCUACAAUUAUUGUUAAACAUAUAUAAUCAUACAUAUACGUACUACAUAUAUGUUUCUUGUGUGUAUAGAUAACGAGAGUUUAGAAACAAAGAAAGCAGUCCUCAAAACGCACUACAAUAUAUGACUAUUUCUAUAGCAAUUUGUUUUGCUUUGAAUGACAUAUGAAUGCUUCCUUAGAGUAGCCAUAUUAUUAUAAUGACUCUUCUGAUGUUUGUAAAUUAUGCUAAUAAUUAUCCUUUUUACAAGCAAACAUAAAAAUUCAGCACUGUGUUAACACUGUGGUUAAUACAGAGAAGGGAUUUCUAAGACAUACAGGUUUUAAUUUACUGCUUUUUUCCUCUCACUUUAUUGUACUUACCUUCCUUUAGAUAAAGCAGUACAAAAAUUUGCUAAUUAUUUUUCUCACUGCAAUAUGUUUCUAGUGCCACCUUUUUGUUUUUGUCCAGAUUUCUUUAUGGAAGCAAUGUUUCUGAAAAUGGUAUUCUUACAAGUUAAUAAGAAAGGUAUUACCUUAAUCAUAUGUAGUUUCUUCUGUGAAAUCAAGAUGAAAGAAAAAUAUUUGAGGAGUUGACAGCUUCUAUAUUUUUGUGUUUCCUUGGACAGAGCUCCUGCUGUUGCACAGCUCUCAAUGUAAAUGGUUUGCUAGAAAAACAGUGGUGUUUUCUUUGAAUUUUAUUUCAUUUGGACUUGAUCAUGCCUCUGCUUCCAGAUCUACCGAGAUUAAAAGUGCAUCUGAAUUAAUGUCAGCUUUAGAUUUCUAUUACAAUGUCAGUAGCUUGAAAUCUAUUAUAUUGAUGUCACAUGUAUCUAGUAAAGUAGGAACACAAGUCUUGGAAUAGAGAUUUUUUAGAGAUCUGACCUGUUUUUCUUCUUUUCUGUAA